UGUGACAACUGGCACAAAACCGGUAACUUCCGUACAUUUUAAUUAUUAUUUAAUGACUGCAAUUAUGAGCUUAAAUAACAACCCGUUGAGGUUACUGACUGGAAAGUCAACAAGACUAGGAGGAGCAGUGUGAAACUUGUCAAAGUACGUUGGAGCUCUAAGCACGGACCCGAGUAUACAUGGGAACGCGAAGACCAGUUCAAAGAAAAGUAUCCCCACCUAUUCAAGAAGACUCCUGCGAGAGUUAGUUCAACCUGAAUUUCGGGACGAAAUUCUUUUAACGGGGGGAGACUGUGACAACUGGCACAAAACCGGUAACUUCCGUACAUUUUAAUUAUUAUUUAAUGACUGCAAUUAUGAGCUUAAAUGUCAACAUUGACUGAUUAGAAGCUAAGCAAGUGAAUUCAUGCACGUUGUAUACUACAAAAUAUUGCUUUAUGCAAAAACGAGAGCGUUGCGUCAGAAAUAUUAGUAAACUCACCGGUAAGACACACUGUGUCAACGGAACUGCAGAAAGCAGUCAGACAUUAGAAUUGAGGCCUAGGUGUAGGUCCUACGACAAAGGUACAUUAAAACCCAAGAGUACAUAUCAGGGUUUAAUUUAUGGUCGUUACGAAAGCUAAAACACGCACUAAAAGGCACCCGAAACACACUUUAAGU
rnacentral:lncRNA from 1 species